rnacentral:lncRNA from 1 species
GGGAGGGAUUAUAGAAUGUUUUCUCUGGAAAAUAGGACCGAGAAGGCAGAACAACAAACUGGAUCUCACUCCAAGUCUUUCCAGACACAAAGGGAAAGAAGAGGAGGAAGAAAUCAAAUCCAACUUCGGUGGGAGACAAGGAGACAGCUCGUGACCAAGUGUGGCUCAGGGAAACCUGGUCAUGCUUAGAUUUGGCAAGUGACCUGCACUAUUUGUCACACAGUGGGAUUUUGAAGCACGAGGCUGUACGGUUGACGAGUAAUGAAGUGGUCCUAUUUCAAAACGAAGCAAAAUUCUGCUCUGAGAUUUUUAUUUGUAAGAAUUUCCUGGGUUCAAUGUUUCCCCUUAGCUUUUCCUCUUUCAUUUCUAGGAAGUUAUCAGUUUUCCAAAAAAGAGGGCCUUGGAUAGAAAAACAAACAGUUAUGACUGAGACUUUGGACUUGUAUAUUAACAAUGUCUAGAAGGGUGGUCAAAAAUGCUUACUUUCUCCAGCAGCAUCACUACCCAAUGGCCACCUAAGGGAUGGAGAUGUUCCAGAGUCAGGUUGGAGGGUCCUGUGGACAGAGCUAUGAUCUUUCUUGAAAGCUGUGUGAGUGAACGCAGAUUGGCACAAGGUGCUAUGCAGAAUAAUUAAAACCUAUCAUCUAGAUUAUUCAUGCGAUAGAAACCUACCACAGGGGCACGUUGUCCUAGAAACAGAGAGUUUCUGUUCUCUUCCCCACACGUGGAAUGUCCCGCAUCAUAGACAAGUUCUUAAGCUGAGGCAGCCUCCGCUGGUAAGAGGUUCUGUAACUGGCCAUGGCAGGUUUUCCUUUACCCCAGAACAACCAGCAAGAGGCCGAGAAUGUGAGAACAAGGGGAGGAGGGCCUUUCAGGGAACGCUGUAUUUUGAACGCCAGAUGAGGAAGCCAGAUGUUUUUCUCGUCUCCACCCACUGCACGGCUGCUGUUUGCCAAGGAUCGGGGCUGGUGGGGGCAGGGGUUUCUCAGCCCAUCAGCUCGGCCGCAGACCUGCUGAAAACCUGCCUUCGGCUUCACGGAGCAUUUAAAAGAACCUCCGAUCCCCUUGGCCGGUCCACACAGGCUGACCCAGCUGCUGCCACCUCCUCCUCACCUCGUUGGUGCUCCACUCCAGACGCUCCAGCACUUUCCUGCUGUCGUGAAAGCUGCUGUCUGAGUGAAGAGUUCCUGGUAUGCAGGAGAUAG